rnacentral:rRNA from 1 species
UACGUAGGGUGCAAGCGUUGUCCGGAAUUAUUGGGCGUAAAGAGCUCGUAGGCGGUUUGUUGCGUCGGCUGUGAAAUCCCGAGGCUCAACCUCGGGUCUGCAGUCGAUACGAGCAAACUAGAGUGUUGCAGGGGAGACUGGAAUUCCUGGUGUAGCGGUGAAAUGCGCAGAUAUCAGGAGGAACACCGGUGGCGAAGGCGGUUCUCUGGGAAUGACCUGACGCUGAGGAGCGAAAGUGUGGGGAGCGAACAGG